rnacentral:rRNA from 1 species
AUUGAACGCUGGCGGCAGGCCUAACACAUGCAAGUCGAACGAGUGGCGGACGGGUGAGUAAUGUCUGGGAAACUGCCUGAUGGAGGGGGAUCACUACUGGAAACGGUAGCUAAUACCGCAUACCAUCGGAUGUGCCCAGAUGGGAGUAGCUAGUAGGGGGGGUAACGGCUCACCUAGGCGCCGAUCCCUAGCUGGUCUGAAAGGAUGACCAGCCACACUGUAACGGAGAAACGGUCCAGACUCCUACGGGAGGCAGCAGUGGGGAAUAGUGCACAAUGGGCGCAAGCCUGAUGCAGCCAUGCCGCGUGUAUGAAGAAGGCCUUCGGGUUGUAAAGCACUUUCAGCGGGGAGGCGUUACCCGCAGAAGAAGCACCGGCUAACUCCGUGCCAGCCGCCGCGGUAAUAC